rnacentral:rRNA from 1 species
UGGGGAAUUUUGGACAAUGGGCGAAAGCCUGAUCCAGCAAUGCCGCGUGUGUGAAGAAGGCCUUCGGGUUGUAAAGCACUUUUGUCCGGAAAGAAAUCCUUGGCUCUAAUACAGUCGGGGGAUGACGGUACCGGAAGAAUAAGCACCGGCUAACUACGUGCCAGCAGCUGCGGUAAUACGUAGGGUGCAAGCGUUAAUCGGAAUUACUGGGCGUAAAGCGUGCGCAGGCGGUUUGCUAAGACCGAUGUGAAAUCCCCGGGCUCAACCUGGGAACUGCAUUGGUGACUGGCAGGCUAGAGUAUGGCAGAGGGGGGUAGAAUUCCACGUGUAGCAGUGAAAUGCGUAGAGAUGUGGAGGAAUACCGAUGGCGAAGGCAGCCCCCUGGGCCAAUACUGACGCUCAUGCACGAAAGCGUGGGGAGCAAACAGGAUUAGAUACCCUGGUAGUCCACGCCCUAAAACGAUGUCAACUAGUUGUUGGGGAUUCAUUUCCUUAGUAACGUAGCUAACGCGUGAAGUUGACCGCCUGGGGAGUACGGUCGCAAGAUUAAAACUCAAAUGAAUUGACGGGGUCAUAGCUGUUUCCU